rnacentral:lncRNA from 1 species
UGUAUAUAGAAAAGUGAAAAUGAAUAGUAAUUUGGGACGGAGAGAGAGUGAUCAAACUAGCACAUGGCCAAGGCAAUUCGAUAUUCCGCCGCAGUUUGGAAAAUGGGACUGCGAUAUAGCAGUGACAAUAAGGUGAAAAAUAUAGUCUUCCAUUUCUGCUGCCGCUUCCGGCUUUCUUAUGGAAAAAUGUUCCAACGGAACUGAAUUGCCGAAAUGCGAUGCCUCUAAAUUAACACAUCUACUACAGACAGAAUGAUCUAUCAUUGCAGGUUGCAAGGCCCGUGACGCAGGAGUCAAAUCAGGAUUGGGCCUGGUACGCACCUACCGGAAGAGAACGGAUAAGGAUUGAUUGGGCUACGGAGGAAAGGAGGGGAGACCAAGUAAGCAUGGCACAAAAUGCUAAUGUUUAUCGUCCACAUCACACUUUCUGGCCUUUUCUUCUUUUUUCUUUUGUAUAUUUCUGAAUGAAC